UUGACAUGAAUGUACCCAUUAAAGCAAAUAAGGAAGGAACACAAGCUACGACGGUUGGCAUAGGGACACUGUUCCAUUCCGUUGAAAGCCUGCAAUAGGGACCCUGUCUACCAAGGAUAACGCCCAUCCUUCCUUGCCACCUCUUCGUUAGUUCCGACAUAAAAAAUUUACAUCGCAGGGCAUUUUCAAAUUCAGGGUUGGACCACCUUGAAAGAAUUCACUACCUUUGGUAUAGAAUUCUAGUAUUCUACCACAACUAAAUCUACCUGAACAGAAGACCAACUUUUGGAAGCCACAAGCAUAGAACAACAAAG
rnacentral:misc_RNA from 1 species